rnacentral:lncRNA from 10 species
GUCCCCAAGGAAACUGCACCUGCAAGGUGCAUUGCCAUCAUCUCUUCUGUUCUAGAAAGAUGAAGACAAAUUGAAGGCAAUUCAGAGACAAGUAACUUAGGUGAUUGGGGUGAUGUCAGGGGAAAGAUGAAAAGAACUGCACAUGCAAGCGUCUGCUCAGGUUGUGUUGAAGAAAUUGGAGAAAGGGGAUGUAGGGAAGCUUCCAGUGCCUGAGCGGAUCAGGCUCAGAGUUACUUUCAGGAUACAGACAUCUGACUCGGUUCCUCCCUAGCUUGGCCUCUUUGUGGAUCUGUUUCCUUUUUCAUAAAACAGGGAUGAAAAGGAUGCAUUGUUGUUGGAGAUUAAAGGACAUACUGUACAUUUAUAAUCACCUAGAAUAGUGCCAGGCACAUAGGAAGAGCUCAAGUAAUGCAUCAUGUUUUUGGAACACAGAAAAUUUGAGCUAGAAAGAAUCUUAGCCUCAUAUUCAGCUUCUCAGUCUUCAGAGGAGGAAACUGAAGCUCAGAGGCAGAGGUGAUGGAUCCAUGGACACAACACUAGCUACAGGAAGAAUAUGACUAGUCCUAAAUUCAUUCUUUCUUUAAGACAAAAUAAUAUAUUACGGCUCCCUGUCAUUUUAAAGGUGUUUUGAUGGUUAAUGUCCAGACAGUGAGAAAAAGUGGCACAUAUUUAUUAGGCUUCAAGUUCUUCUGAGUUUCUUUAGAGAGGGUAAGCGCAUUGGUGGUAGCUUUUCUGAGAUGAAAUGUAGCCUUCUCCUUACAAAGGCCUACUGCUGAAGCUCACCUUCUUACUCUGAGUGCUAACACCAUGGCUAAAUGCAUAUGGGCUUUUACAACAACUUCGGGUGUUGACACCAUGACUGGUUACAUGUGGGCUUUUUAUUCAGGUGGCUGAGUAGAGGCAGACGCCAGCUCCUUAUUUUCCAAGUUCUCUUGUAGGUGUCUGUGGGUAUGGGUGAGGAAAUGUACUCUAACUUCACAAAAAUAAAUUAAGCUUCCUCUUGCAACAUACGUGAAGGAUUCCAAUGCUUUUAACUUCUAAGUGAUCUCACAAGACAUUUUUUUCAAUCAAGAUACAUUGAUUAAACAAUGAUUAUUAUUCCAUCUUAUGUUAAUCAAAAUUUAGCUGCCAAUCAGAGCUUCUGAUCAGUAAACUGUCAUUGCUAUCCUACUGGGUUGACCUAAUUCUAGGCCAUAAAUUGAAACAUCAUUUUUUUUUUUUUUUUUUAGUGUGCCCGGGCAAACCUGUCUCCCAUAAAAAUUUCUGUUUCAUUUUUGGAAAUACUGAAAGAUGUCCAAAGAGUCCCAUUAUCACUUUCAAGAAGCGCUA